UAACACUGUAUAUUUUCCACAUACCUGUACAGCUGAUUGUCCAAAAGAAACAAUUAAUUUUUUUGUGAAAUCAUCAUAUACGAUUAAACAACAGUCAUACUGUCAUUUUAAUAAUCUUCACUUUAAUUAGAGAGUAAACUAAAGUUUAUUCACAUAUUGUCAGUUUUUGCUGGGUAAGAUGAAAAAGGAGGUAUGUGUGGGAGGAGCUCAAAGUUUUGUCAGCUACAGCAGAAGAAAUCAUGGGGACAACACUGACACACCUUCAUUAAGAAGUCUGAACUCAAACUACAGAAACAUGUUACUCAUCUCUUCUGUUAUAGUUUUCAUCCUCAAUUACUGUGAAUCUGGGGAUGUCAUCAGACCAGACCAACCAUCUGUAGUUUUAACUGAAGAAAGCAACACCACUCUGUCCUGUACAUAUGAUGGAUCAGCUUACAGUCUCCACUGGUAUCGGCAGAAGCCUGGAUCAAAACCAGAGUUUCUGCUGCUGAUUGCUGUGUCUUCCAAACAUGUCACCAAAGCUGACCAACCUCAUCCACAUAUGUCUAUCAGACUCCAUGAUAAACGUGUGAAUCUGGAGAUCUCUGCUGCUGUAUCAGACUCUGCCAUGUAUUACUGUGCCCUGGAGCCCACAGUGACAGGAAAACCAUCUACACAGUACAAAAACUUUGUAGAGUCAUAUAUCUAA